UCGCCUAGAAGAUGGUCCGUGAGAAAAUGACCUCCAAAAGAAGCAUUCGAUCUCUUGGGUGCCCACAGAUCAUUGUUGUUACUUAUGAUUCCGUCAUCAUUUUGCUUGCAUUUUGCUAGUGAGCUAUCAAAAAAAGGGAUCGCUAUUUGUGUAAUGACAAAAUGCUUUGCUAGCAUCUUCUGAAUGCAAAUGUUUCUACAGUGGAAAGAAGAGAACUGCCG